AACGAACGCUGGCGGCAUGCCUAACACAUGCAAGUCGAACGAGAUCUUCGGGUCUAGUGGCGCACGGGUGCGUAACGCGUGGGAAUCUGCCCUUUGGUUCGGAAUAACGGUUGGAAACGACUGCUAAUACCGGAUGAUGACGAAAGUCCAAAGAUUUAUCGCCGGAGGAUGAGCCCGCGUAGGAUUAGCUAGUUGGUGUGGUAAAGGCGCACCAAGGCGACGAUCCUUAGCUGGUCUGAGAGGAUGAUCAGCCACACUGGGACUGAGACACGGCCCAGACUCCUACGGGAGGCAGCAGUGGGGAAUAUUGGACAAUGGGCGAAAGCCUGAUCCAGCAAUGCCGCGUGAGUGAUGAAGGCCUUAGGGUUGUAAAGCUCUUUUACCCGGGAUGAUAAUGACAGUACCGGGAGAAUAAGCUCCGGCUAACUCCGUGCCAGCCGCCGCAGUAA
rnacentral:rRNA from 1 species